AGCUUAUUAGAAUGAAUCUUUUCACACCAAGUUUACGGCAAGCUUCAACAAGGUUCACAGUGCCUAAAUUAUCAACCUGCAACAACGUACUCUUCAUAAGAUUGACAAACAAUGACAUCGGAAAACUGCAACACUAAACUAUUAAAUAUUGACAGCACAUGCAGAGCUCCAAUUUCCAGAUUACAUGUUAACAUAAUUGAUGUUGCCUUUCAAUGCCACAUCCAGGAUAAUGACUAACAUUCAAAAAUCCGCACCCAGAUAUUUCUGCCUAAAAUCAGAUAAAGAUGCACUUAACAGAGAACUGAUCCAAGAACUUAGAUUGUAAAUAAGUUCAUGAUAGAAUUCUGUUUCAAGCAGGAAAAUUUGCAAUCCUUCAUCUUCUCAAAACAUCUGCAAUAUAGACAUAACCAUCCCAACAGAUGACCUAAUGACUUGAGGAUUAAAGUGAUUGAUAUUUGUACUUGGAACAAAUGCUUCACAUAAGCAAGCCCAUAUUUGCUUUUUUCCUAUAGGUGAUAAAAGAUGAAUCAAACAUGACACCUUUCUAUAUUUUUUAAUGAUAAAUAACAAUGGCAAACAACCUUCAUUUGAAUAAUUAAUCAAUAAUCAGCUGAAGCACAGAAAGCAUUAUUAGCUUUUGACAUGUUUUUUUAUUAAGGCCAGAACAGAAUAAUUAAAAAUCUAGAACCGACUGAUCACCUUCCAUGGAGCAAACAAGUUCCAGCCAGGCCGAAACCCAGUGGCACAUAUUACAGCCUCGGAAUCAUCCCCUAUGGCCUGUACUAGCUUGUCAGACCCCUUAGUUACAUCGGCUGUCACCUAGAAUAAGAAAGCAAAAAAAAAAUACACAAUGAACCCAGUUCAAAUUUGAGUGUGCGCAAACUGUCAAGUGUUUAAAGCAGGAGUACAGACA
rnacentral:lncRNA from 1 species